AAUACUCAAACUCUUUUAUUUUGUAUCCCAAUUGAAAUUUUCCUUGAACUUUUUUUCUUUUUCAUAUGAUCAAUCACAAUAUGAAAAUCGUAUUAAUGCAUGUUAAUUGCUUGAUUGAAUUCAGCCUUUUCUGUUGAAAAUUGAUACCAAAAGCAUUUUCCUUUUUCGGAAUUGUCACUCUUUUUUGUUACUCCCUCUAGUCGAUUUAACUAAUUUUCAGAGCUAAAUUCAAUUAUAUAAUCCGAUAUUUUAAGACUAAAAUUUAGAUGUUUGGAAACUAAAAUUUUCCUUGAAUUUUUUUUUUCUCUUUUCACAAUAUGAAAUCGUAAUAAUGCAUGCUAAUGGCUUGAUUCAAUUCAGCCUUCAGUUCAAUUGAUAUCACAAGCUUUUCCAUUUUUCGGAAUUCUCACUCUUUUUUGUUAUUCUCAAAAGCGAACUUUUACAUAUUCUUUUGAUACUAACGUAAUUUGUUAAUUGUUAUCUUUGUUGAUUUUAAUCUCUUUUCCGUUUUGCUUGUUUUUGGAACUUUUGCAGAUCUUAGUAUAAUCAUAUGUUAGCGCGAUCAUAGCAAUACGUAGAACUAGAAGCCAUCGCUUCGUUUUUCAGGUGGAGGUUGAAAGUCAGCAUGGAUGGGAACAUGAAUUUAGUAUCUCCUUGCUGAGGCUUUUGCAAUGCAUACUGAUGCAGCGUCUAGUGGUCUUUCAGAAACAGCCUCUUUACCUUUCAAAGUAGAGGUAAGGUCUGCGUACACUUUACCCUCCCCAGACCCCAUAUUGUGGGAUUUCACUGGGUAUGUGUUGUUGUUGUACUGAUGCAGCGUCUAGGUAUAGCUUAUUGGUACUCUUUGGUUAUUCUAUUCCAUCUCUUAAAAAGAAAAGAAUUAAAUAAAAUUACUUAAUAGCAUGGCGGUACAUUUAUACA